AUACGGAGGGAGCAAGCGUUAUUCGGAAUCACUGGGCGUAAAGGACGCGUAGGCGGGUUUGUAAGUCAGGUGUGAAAUCCUACAGCUCAACUGUAGAACUGCACUUGAAACUACAGACCUAGAGUAUGGAAGGGGCAGAUGGAAUUAGUGGUGUAGGGGUAAAAUCCGUAGAUAUCACUAGGAAUACCGAAAGCGAAGGCGAUCUGCUGGGACAUUACUGACGCUGAGGCGUGAAAGCGUGGGGAGCAAACAGGUUUAGAUACCCCAGUAGUCC
rnacentral:rRNA from 1 species